rnacentral:tRNA from 1 species
GCUGUAGCUUAGUGGUAGAGUAUCUGCUUUGCAUGCAGAAGGUUGCAGGUUCAAUUCCCAACAUCUCCA